rnacentral:ncRNA from 1 species
UUUUUGGAGAGUUUGAUCCUGGCUCAGAGUUAACGCUGGCGGCGUGCCUAACACAUGCAAGUCGAGCGAAG